UGGUUCCUGAGAAGAUUUUUAAAGAUGCCACUAAAUUUUCAUGAACUCUUCAUUAUCUCUCCUUGAAAGAAGGCAUGGCACUUCCUGUGAACAAACUUAAAUCCUCUUCACCCAAGGAUGCUUUGUCACAUUUGCAGGUUAAAAAAAAUGGAGUACAUUGUUAUGAUGACCAGACUCGAAGGCAUUCAUGUAAUUGGGUGAAUCACAGAGUCUCAGGAAUCUUCUGGACUAACCAAAAGUGAUGGCUGAAACAAAUAUUAACUGGUAGUCUACUUAGUGAUCUGGACACUGGAUAAGGCAGAAACCAUUUUCAACAGAACUGUUAAGAGUGUAAAUAAAAAAAAAACAAGAUACCCACUCUCCAACUCAUUCAUAGCUUCAUUCUUGGCUUCAUUGUGUUGAAUAUGAGUCAAGACUUUUCUAUUGUACCAAGGCUGAAGGGACUUUCAAACCAUAAACAACAUCACCACAGAGCA